rnacentral:rRNA from 1 species
UACGGAGGGUGCAAGCAUUAAUCGGAUUUACUGGGCGUAAAGGGCGCGUAGGCGGGUUUGUAAGUCAAAUGUGAAAUUCCGGAGCUCAACUCCGGAGCGGCAUUUGAAACUGCAGAUCUAUAGAGGGAUGGCGGAGAAAACGGAAUUCCACGUGUAGCGGUGAAAUGCGUAGAUAUGUGGAAGAACACCUGUGGCGAAAGCGGUUUUCUAGCUAUUUCCUGACGCUGAGGCGCGAGAGCAUGGGGAGCAAACAGG